AUUGAACGCUGGCGGCAGGCCUAACACAUGCAAGUCGAGCGGAUGAAGGGAGCUUGCUCCUGGAUUCAGCGGCGGACGGGUGAGUAAUGCCUAGGAAUCUGCCUGGUAGUGGGGGAUAACGUCCGGAAACGGGCGCUCAUACCGCAUACGUCCUGAGGGAGAAAGUGGGGGAUCUUCGGACCUCACGCUAUCAGAUGAGCCUAGGUCGGAUUAGCUAGUUGGUGGGGUAAAGGCCUACCAAGGCGACGAUCCGUAACUGGUCUGAGAGGAUGAUCAGUCACACUGGAACUGAGACACGGUCCAGACUCCUACGGGAGGCAGCAGUGGGGAAUAUUGGACAAUGGGCGAAAGCCUGAUCCAGCCAUGCCGCGUGUGUGAAGAAGGUCUUCGGAUUGUAAAGCACUUUAAGUUGGGAGGAAGGGCAGUAAGUUAAUACCUUGCUGUUUUGACGGUACCAACAGAAUAAGCACCGGCUAACUUCGUG
rnacentral:rRNA from 1 species